rnacentral:misc_RNA from 1 species
AACUUUCGGCAAUGGAUCUCUUGGUUCCGGCAUCGAUGAAGAACGCAGCGAAAUGCGAUACGUAAUGUGAAUUGCAAAUUCAGUGAAUCAUCGAGUCUUUGAACGCACAUUGCGCCCCCUGGUAUUCCGGGGGGCAUGCCUGUCCGAGCGUCAUUGCUGCCCUCAAGCACGGCUUGUGUGUUGGGCCCCGUCCUCCGAUUCCGGGGGACGGGCCCGAAAGGCAGCGGCGGCACCGCGUCCGGUCCUCGAGCGUAUGGGGCUUUGUCACCCGCUCCGUAGGCCCGGCCGGCGCUUGCCGAUCAACCCAAAUUUUUAUCCAGGUUGACCUCGGAUCAGGUAGGGAUACCCGCUGAACUUAAGCAUAUCAAUAAGCGGAGGCU